UCGAAGAGCCACGCCCCCGACCUCGUUCUCUUCGGAGGUUCGGGCGAGCGCUGAGCUUGUCUCAGGCUCUGGGAUCUUCCUUGGGGCGUAUCUGGAGGAGGGCCCCUGAUUCCAGAUGUUUGUGUCCGCAAGUUAAGCAAAAUGUGAAGGCACCCGAGUGGAACUGUCUCCAUGCAUCGUUGCAGCUUGAGGAUAACAUCCUAUCCCCCAAAUCACCAAGUCAAUCUGGACUGCAAUUCAAAUCAAAGGGCUACGAAGGUGGCCUCCUCACUCAUUUUGCAACGGGAACAAGCUUUCACAAGGUCCAAUUCAAGAGGAGUCAUCAGAGGAAGAACUUAGCUCAGCUCUACAGUCCCCCUGGAAUCGAUUCUUUUUGAACUUUUUAUUGAAUUAUGAUAUAGUCCCUACAGCAGAAUGCAACCCAAGCACACCCAAGUAACUGACAUCCGGGUCAAGAACAGGACAUUGCCACAUUCUAGAAGCCCCCUUCUUGUCCUUUCAGUCACAUGCUUGCCCCAAUAGUAACCACAUCUUGCAUAGAUUGGUUUUGCUUAAUUUUAUAUUCAUGCAGAUAAAAUUGUACCUAUGUGUCUCUUGCUUAACAUUGUAUUUGCGUACAGAUGUAGUUAACCUACGAUCAUUGUUAUAUAGUAUUUCGUUGUGUGAAUAUUCCAGUUUAUCCAUUCUGCUGUUGAUGAACAUUUGGGUAAUUUCCAGUUUGAGCUAUUAUAAGUGGUGCACCUAUUAUCAUUAUAAUACAUAUCUUUAAGUGAACACAUAUGCUAAUAUAUACAUGGAAAUGGAAUUGCUGGGUCAUAGGGUUAACUUACAUUCAGCUUAAGUAGGUUCUACUAGUUUUGCAAAGUGGUUGUACCAAUUUACAUUCCUGAUUAACGUUUGGUAUUGUUUGUCUUUUUAAUUUUAGCCAUUCUGUUGGGUCAGUAGUGGUAUUGCACUGUGGCUUUAAUUGUAUUUUCCUAAGUACUAACACAGUUGAGAACUUUAAAAAAUAUCUUUAUUGUCCAUUGGAUCAUUGCUUUUGUGAAAUGUCUGUUUAGGUGUUUUGCACAUUUUUCUAUUGGGCUGUUCUUUUUUUACUGAUCUGUAGAUUUUUAUUUUUUUUGGAUAUGAGUUCUUGUGAGAUAUGUAUAGUGAAUAUGUUCCCUCUCUCUGUGGAUUGCCUUUUCAUCCUCAUAAUGGUGUCUUUUGGUGAACAGAAGGUCUUAAUUUUAAUAUAGUGUAAUUUAUGAA